UACAGAGGUCUCAAGCGUUGUUCGGAUUCACUGGGCUUAAAGGGCGCGUAGGCGGGUUGCCAAGUCGGAGGUGAAAUCCUGCAGCUCAACUGCAGAAGUGCCCCCGAUACUGGCAGUCUCGAGUGAGGUAGGGGCAUGUGGAACUUCCGGUGGGAGCGGUGAAAUUCGUAGAUAUUAGGAAGAACACCAGUGGCGAAGGCGGCUCACUGGUCCGGUACGUGACGCUGAGGUGCGAAAGCGUGGGGAGCAACAGG
rnacentral:rRNA from 1 species